GAAAUGCGAUAAGUAAUGUGAAUUGCAGAAUUCAGUGAAUCAUCGAAUCUUUGAACGCACAUUGCGCCCGCCAGUAUUCUGGCGGGCAUGCCUGUUCGAGCGUCAUUUCAACCAUCAAGCCCCGGGCUUGUGUUGGGGACCUGCGGCUGCCGCAGGCCCUGAAAACCAGUGGCGGGCUCGCUGUCACACCGAGCGUAGUAGAUUCUCAUCUCGCUCAGGGCGUGCUGCGGGUUCCGGCCGUAAAACAGCCUUAUUUUACCCAAGGUUGACCUCGGAUCAGGUAGGAAGACCCGCUGAACUUAAGC
rnacentral:misc_RNA from 1 species